rnacentral:lncRNA from 13 species
AUGCAUGUGAGAAGAAGCCUGGGAGACACCCCUGGGGACUUGGAUGCCGCCAGCUUGCCCACCAGGGUAAGCAACCACCUUGCCAGCAAGGAUCCACUGUCAUUUCUGCCAGUUCAAUGCCCUUGUGUGAGAUCUGGAAGGCAGAAGCCAAAUGAAGUCAUCCUUCCUCCAGCAGGAGCAGUACCCAAUGACAGACCACCACAGGUAAACAUGAGCCUUUGCUGGGGCCAGCAGACCCGACUGUGCCCUGCCAGCCUCUUGCCCCAGGAAGCUGUUUCUUGACCUCUGGGUGGAAGGAGCGACUUCCUGACGCUCACAGCUUCGCAGCUACACAGCUACACAGGCAAACGGGAAAGCAGUGCUACUGCUCUCGCCUUCUGUUCUCCCAAUCUCUCCUGUGGUUUUUAAGUACCUAAUUCCCAGUAAUAAGUGCCCAUUUGCUUUAAAUAUUGGUUCCUGUUUUUCUGACUGAGGCCCGGUUGAAACAGAUAGAUGCUAGAAAUCUCUAUUUUAUUGUUGCAGAAACCAAGAUUCAAAGUGGUCAAAAGUAGUGGGAAAUCUGCAACUCAAUCCAAGCUUCCUGAUUACAAAUUUACUUUUUUUAAACUAUAUCACAGCUGUAUGUACAUUAAAUAGUUGGGGUUUUUGUUUAUAUAAAGUUAUACUUAUAUCUGAAUUAUGAUAAAACUCCUCAAAGUAUUCUCAAUUCUUUUUUCCUCCUCUUUGUCCAAUUAAGUCUUAUUCUUUUGUGCCUCCAUGAACCUACUGGCUGGAGUGCAGUGGUGUGAUCUUGGCUCACUGCAACCUCCACCUCGUGGGUUCAUGCAAUUCUCCAACCUCAGCUUCCUGAGUAGCUGGGAUUACAGGCACGCACCACCACACCCAGCUAAUUUUGAUAUUUGUAGUGGAGAUGGGGUUUCACCAUAUUGGCCAGGCUGACCUUGAACUCCUCACUUCAAGGGAUCAAGCUGCCUCGGCCUCCCAAAGUGCUGGGAUUAUAGGCAUGAGCCACCGCACCCAAUGCAAAUUCUUUAAGUAAGAAGAAGACAUUCUCUGCAAGACAGUUUGGGAAAAGGAGAAUUUUUUUCAAGGGAUUAAAUGUAAGAGUCUGCUUCCUAGAAUGAAACAGCACCCAGUCAAUGAGCAAAUGGAAGUCCACAUAACUCUGCCAACAAAGAGGGAGAAUGAUCCUUAUCGGAGUCCAACAAUUUAUACUAACUGGUUUCUUCAUUUUCCUUCACUUGAUUUCCUCCUUUUUUUUUUCUAAUGAUAGUUUUACAAGGCAGUCUCAAGUCCUUUGUGCAAUGAGACAGAGUUUAACAAAGUGUUUCCAUAGACACCCACCCUGCUCGUAUGCUGAGUUCUAGAAAAUGUUCCCUGCCACCUGAGGUUGAGAUCUGACCUGACAUCUAACUCUGUGGUCAAUACCAGGCCAACAGCAUGAGCCUUGCCCAGGAUUUUGUCAGAAAUGCACACUCUCAGGUCCCGCGCCAGACCUGUGUGGCAAACUCUGGGAAAUCUAGCACAUGCCCAAGUCGGAGAACCAUCGCUGUAGACAUCUGACUCGAACCAGAAACACUUCCCCACCUACUUUCCCAUUCACCACCUCCGUACCCACCAUCCUAAGGCUGAAUAAAAAGCAAGGGAAACAUCA